UGCAAGUCGAACGGAUCCUUCGGGAUUAGUGGCGACGGGUGAGUAACACGUGGGAACGUGCCCUUUGGUUCGGAACAACUCAGGGAAACUUGAGCUAAUACCGGAUGUGCCCUUCGGGGGAAAGAGUUAUCGCCAUUGGAGCGGCCCGCGUCUGAUUAGCUAGUUGGUGAGGUAAAGGCUCACCCAAGGCGACGAUCAGUAGCUGGUCUGAGAGGAUGAUCAGCCACAUUGGGACUGAGACACGGCCCAAACUCCUACGGGAGGCAGCAGUGGGGAAUCUUGCGCAAUGGGCGAAAGCCUGACGCAGCCAUGCCGCGUGAAUGAUGAAGGUCUUAGGAUUGUAAAAUUCUUUCACCGGGGACGAUAAUGACGGUACCCGGAGAAGAAGCCCCGGCUAACUUCGUG
rnacentral:rRNA from 1 species